rnacentral:rRNA from 1 species
UACGUAGGGUGCAAGCGUUGUCCGGAAUUAUUGGGCGUAAAGAGCUUGUAGGCGGUUUGUCGCGUCUGCUGUGAAAUUUCGGGGCUCAACCCCGAACUUGCAGUGGGUACGGGCAGACUAGAGUGUGGUAGGGGAGACUGGAAUUCCUGGUGUAGCGGCGAAAUGCGCAGAUAUCAGGAGGAACACCGGUGGCGAAGGCGGUUCUCUGGGCAGUAACUGACGCUGAGGAGCGAAAGCGUGGGGAGCGAACAGG